GACGAACGCUGGCGGCGUGCCUAAUACAUGCAAGUAGAACGCUGAAGGAGGAGCUUGCUCUUCUGGAUGAGUUGCGAACGGGUGAGUAACGCGUAGGUAACCUGCCUGGUAGCGGGGGAUAACUAUUGGAAACGAUAGCUAAUACCGCAUAACAGUAGAUGUUGCAUGACAUUUGCUUAAAAGGUGCAAUUGCAUCACUACCAGAUGGACCUGCGUUGUAUUAGCUAGUUGGUGGGGUAACGGCUCACCAAGGCGACGAUACAUAGCCGACCUGAGAGGGUGAUCGGCCACACUGGGACUGAGACACGGCCCAGACUCCUACGGGAGGCAGCAGUAGGGAAUCUUCGGCAAUGGACGGAAGUCUGACCGAGCAACGCCGCGUGAGUGAAGAAGGUUUUCGGAUCGUAAAGCUCUGUUGUAAGAGAAGAACGAGUGUGAGAGUGGAAAGUUCACACUGUGACGGUAUCUUACCAGAAAGGGACGGCUAACUACGUGCC
rnacentral:rRNA from 1 species